rnacentral:rRNA from 1 species
CAGUCGCCGCGGUAAUACGUAGGUCCCGAGCGUUGUCCGGAUUUAUUGGGCGUAAAGCGGGCGCAGGCGGUUAGAUAAGUCUGAAGUUAAAGGCUGUGGCUCAACCAUAGUUCGCUUUGGAAACUGUCAAACUUGAGUGCAGAAGGGGAGAGUGGAAUUCCAUGUGUAGUGGUGAAAUGCGUAGAUAUAUGGAGGAACACCGGUGGCGAAAGCGGCUCUCUGGUCUGUAACUGACGCUGAGGCUCGAAAGCGUGGGGAGCGAACAGGAUUAGAUACCCGCGUAGUCCCUGUCUCUUAUACA